CGAACUUCGACAGUUGAAUACUCCUCUAUUUGGUCCGCUUUUAGGAAUUUAUUUUAUCAAUAAUGGCUUCUGGAAUCAAAGUUUUCCUUUUGUUGGUCGUUCUGGUUGCUGUGGCACAGGCCAAUGAUGAAGACGAUACCUUUUCAAUGGACGAUCCUCCGUGUUCUGCUUCUCAUCCUCAYUCGGUUUGCCAGGAUUCAUGUGCCAUGUUUGACACUCAAAUUGCAGAAGGUUCGUGCUCUGGAGAGGAAGUUUGCUGUGAUCCCUUAUUCUAUUAAGGUAUGUUUGAAUUCUGAACUAAGUCAAAGCCGAGUAAAGAACGAUGAAUUCAAUACUAGUUGUAUCUUAAACUAAUACUUGUGAUCGUAAUCAAUAAAACCAAUAUAAURAACAAGAUAUCAGUUGAGUAUUAAGACUUUGCACUAUCACGUGGCUGGUUGGCAUAGCAACAAGAUCACAUUUUUAUGAUUCAUUAAGUGAAAUUAAAAGCAUAUUAAAAUAGUCUGGAAAAACAAA